rnacentral:rRNA from 1 species
AACGUAGGUGGCGAGCGUUAUCCGGAUUUACUGGGCGUAAAGGGCGCGUAGGCGGCCAGCACAAGUCAGUUGUGAAAUCUCCGAGCUUAACUCGGAACGGUCAACUGAUACUGUGCGGCUAGAGUGCAGAAGGGGCAACUGGAAUUCUUGGUGUAGCGGUGAAAUGCGUAGAUAUCAAGAGGAACACCUGCGGCGAAGGCGGGUUGCUGGGCUGACACUGACGCUGAGGCGCGAAAGCUAGGGGAGCGAACGGG